rnacentral:lncRNA from 1 species
AUUUCUGCAAAAGACAUACCCCAGCCUGUGCUGGGAGGCUGUUUGCAGAGGCAAUGUUUGCCAUGAAAGUCUAUGGAGCUUACCUUCUAAGUAGUGAAGCUGAUUUUAGCUCCUCGAGCAGCACAGGCAGCAUUUCCGCUCCUGAGGUCCAUAUGUCGACUGCGGGAAGCAAGCGGUCUUCUUCUUCACGCAAGUAGGCACCAUCUCCUGCUCUGUAAUUAAGACGCUUUACACAGUCGAGGUCCUCAUGGGCGGAGUAAUGGAGCUUCGUCACACAAGCCUGGCAGCAGCCCAUCAUCCCCGCGGGAAAAGGACCUUCUGUCCAUGCUGUGCAGGAAUCAGCUGAGCCCUGUCAAUAUCCAUCCCAGUUAUGCACCUUCUUCCCCAAGCAGUAGCAACUCAGGCUCCUACAAAGGAAGCGACUGUAGCCCCAUCAUGAGGCGUUCUGGAAGGUACAUGUCUUGCGGUGAAAAUCAUGGUGUCAGACCCCCAAACCCAGAGCAGUAUUUGACUCCACUGCAGCAGAAAGAGGUGACAGUGAGACACCUCAAAACCAAGCUGA